rnacentral:rRNA from 1 species
GACGAACGCUGGCGGCGUGCUUAACACAUGCCAGUCGAACGGAAAGGCCUGCUUUCCCUUGUGGAUUGCGGGUACUCGAGUGGCGAACGGGUGAGUAACACGUGAGUGAUCUGCCCCCAACUUGGGUAUAAGCCUGGGAAACUGGGUCUAAUUCUCGAUAGGACUGCAGGGUGGUGCCGGUGGUGGAAAACGAUCUUCUAGUGGUAGGGGAUGAGCUCGUGGCGUAUCAGCUUGUUGGUGGGGUAACGGCCCACAAAGGCGGCGACGGGUAGUCGGCGUGGGAGCGGGGACGGUGGCAUUGAGACUGGGUUACGGCCCAGACUCGUGCGAGAGGCAGCGGUGGGGAAUAUUGGGCAGUGAGCGGGAGCCUGAUGCAGCGACUGCGCGAUGGGGAUCACGGCCUUCGAGUUGUAAGCUCCUUGCGAACGCGAGGAGGCCACGUGGUUGGAAGGGUGGUGACGGUAGUGAUAGAAGAAGCACCGGCUAACUACGUG